rnacentral:rRNA from 1 species
UAGGGAAUUUUCGUUCAAUGGGCGCAAGCCUGAACGAGCGAUGCCGCGUGAGUGAAGAAGGCCUUCGGUCGUAAAGCUCUGUUGCGGGGGAAAAAGGCAGCAUCAGGAAAUGGGUGCUGACUGAUGGU